rnacentral:rRNA from 1 species
UACAGAGGUCUCAAGCGUUGUUCGGAUUCAUUGGGCGUAAAGGGUGUGUAGGUGGCGCCGUAAGUCUGGUGUGAAAUCUCGGAGCUCAACUCCGAAAUUGCACUGGAUACUGCUCUGCUAGAGGGCUGGAGAGGAGAUCGGAAUUCACGGUGUAGCAGUGAAAUGCGUAGAUAUCGUGAGGAAGACCAGUGGCGAAGGCGGAUCUCUGGACAGCUCCUGACGCUGAGGCGCGAAGGCUAGGGGAGCAAACGGG